rnacentral:rRNA from 1 species
UACGAGGGGGGCGAGCGUUGUUCGGAAUUAUUGGGCGUAAAGGGUGCGUAGGCGGCCCGACAAGUCUGAUGUGAAAUCCCUGGGCUCAACCCAGGGCCUGCAUCGGAAACUGUCGGGCUUGAGUAUGGGAGAGGUGAGUGGAAUUUCCGGUGUAGCGGUGAAAUGCGUAGAUAUCGGAAGGAACACCUGUGGCGAAAGCGGCUCACUGGACCAUUACUGACGCUGAGGCACGAAAGCUAGGGGAGCAAACAGG